rnacentral:rRNA from 1 species
UUGCCCUAGUAACGGCGAGUGAAGCGGCAACAGCUCAAAUUUGAAAUCUGGCUUCGGCCCGAGUUGUAAUUUGUAGAGGAAGCUUUAGGCGCGGCACCUUCUGAGUCCCCUGGAACGGGGCGCCAAAGAGGGUGAGAGCCCCGUAUAGUUGGAUGCCUAGCCUGUGUAAAGCUCCUUCGACGAGUCGAGUAGUUUGGGAAUGCUGCUCAAAAUGGGAGGUAAAUUUCUUCUAAAGCUAAAUACCGGCCAGAGACCGAUAGCGCACAAGUAGAGUGAUCGAAAGAUGAAAAGCACUUUGAAAAGAGGGUUAAAUAGCACGUGAAAUUGUUGAAAGGGAAGCGCUUGUGACCAGACUUGCGCCAGGCUGAUCAUCCGGUGUUCUCACCGGUGCACUCUGCCCGGCGCAGGCCAGCAUCGGUUCUCGCGGGGGGAUAAAGGCUCCGGGAACGUAGCUCCUCCGGGAGUGUUAUAGCCCGGGGCGUAAUGCCCUCGCGGGGACCGAGGACCGCGCAUCUUGCAAGGAUGCUGGCGUAAUGGUCACCAGCGACCCGUCUUGAAACACGGACCAAGGAGUCAAGGUUUUGCGCGAGUGUUUGGGUGUAAAACCCGCACGCGUAAUGAAAGUGAACGUAGGUGAGAGCUUCGGCGCAUCAUCGACCGAUCCUGAUGUAUUCGGAUGGAUUUGAGUAGGAGCGUUAAGCCUUGGACCCGAAAGAUGGUGAACUAUGCUUGGAUAGGGUGAAGCCAGAGGAAACUCUGGUGGAGGCUCGCAGCGGUUCUGACGUGCAAAUCGAUCGUCAAAUCUGAGCAUGGGGCGAAAGACUAAUCGA